AAUUAGUUCAACCAUUGUGGAAGACAGUAUGGUGAUUCCUCAAGGAUCUAAAAUCAGAAAUACCAUUUGAUCCAGCAAUCCCAUUACUUGUUAUAUACCCAAAGGAAUACAAAUCAUUCUACUGUAAAGACACAGGCACAUGUAUGUUUAUUGCAGCACUAUUUACAAGAGCAAAGACAUGGAACUAACCCAAACGCCCAUCAAUUAUAGACUUGAUAAAGAAAAUGUGGUACAUAUACACCAUGGAAUACGAUGCAGCCAUAAAACGGAGUGAGUUCAUGUCCUUUGUAGGGACAUGGAUGAAGCUGGAAACCAUCAUCCUCAGCAAACUAACACAGAAACAGAAUACCAAAUACAACAUGUUCUCACUCACAUAUGGGAGUUGAACUUUGAGAACACAUGGACACAGAGAGGAGAGCAACACAUAUCAGGGGCUGUUGGGGGGUGGGGAAUGAGAGGAGGGAACUUAGAGGAUGGGUCAAUAGGUGCAGCAAACCACCAAGGCACACAUAUACCUAUGUAACAAACCUGCACGUUCUCCUGCAUGUAUAUUUCAUUUUUUUUUAGAAGAGAAAGAAAAGAAGGAAAGAAAGCAAGAAAGCAAGAAAGAGAAAGAAAGAAAGCAAGCAAGCAAGAAAGAAAGAAAGAAAGAAAGAAAGAAAGAAAGAAAGAAAGAAAGAAAGAAAGAAAAGAAGAGCCUUAAGGUGGACCUACAAACUACAGAGUUCCUAAGUUCUCUUUUUUCUCUAUUUUCUUUUCUGCCUGCUUUAAAUCUGCUGUUAUUUUUCUAUUAAGAUCAAAACCACUGUUUGGAUACAACAGUUUUUUUGCUUGCAAGCUGGUGAAUUUGUAUUUGUCUCAUGGCUAAAGUUCUGAAGUAAAAGCUAUAGGAUGUGUGUGUGUGUGUGUGUGUGUGUGUGUGUGUGUGUGUAUUUAAAAGGCCUUUAUAAUUUUUAUAAUUUUAUGUUUAUUUGGCAAUGAAGUCCAUUUUAAUUUCCCUCUAGCACCACCAGACUUUUUCUCUCUGUACCUUAAGACAUAAAUUUUGCUCUUUGAUUUUUGCCUGAGUUGUUUCCUUUAAUAUGCAAACUUAAAGCCAUUUAGCUGACAACUUCCUAGGGGAUUAAAACAGGUUAUUGAGAAUUUGAAAGUCUAAGAUAGUGGAAAAAUCUUCUUAUGAAUCUAUAAGAUGUACUUCUAUCAACAUGCCUACUAGGUCUAUGUAUUUAUGUGUUGUGUACACAAUGUCUCACUACUGAAAAUAUAUAAAAGGGCUCUAAUUAAUUGGCUUAAGAAAAAAAGCACUUAAAUCAAAUACUUAUUAGGAAAAAAGAAAAGACUAGUUGAAUGCUUUCUCAAGUUUAUGUAACUUAAGUAAAAUCUUUAAUAAAUAAGCUACUUUUAAAAUGAUUGGUAAAGUAAUAUUAGACAUGUCUUAAGAAUUGCCAGCAUGCAUUUUGUUUGCAUUUAUUAAUCAAGCAAUUUCAUGUUUAUCCCUGUCAAAUACUAUAAGGUGUCAAAAUUUGGCAUGGGGUUACAAAACUGUGAUAGAAUGAUCUUUGCUUGUGUAAUCUUUAAUAAAUAAGACAUUGAUACUGGUUUAAUAAAAAUAGCCACAUCUUGAAUUUAGUCAGAUUACCAUAACUUCUAAUCUUGUGGCUUUUAGUGGUCUAGUCCACAGGCAGUAAUAUUUACUUUGGGAAUGAAAUAUUAUAAUCUUUGUUUCAAAGGUAAACUAUAAACUAUUUUCCUCUCAAAGUCUGUUCAGCCUGUGCUGGUAAGAAAGCUUAAAGAGAAAUAAUUUCAUAUGAGAAAGAAUCUUGUAUGGUAAAUUUAGACCUAAAAUAAAAUGACUGAUUGUUUAAGAAAGAUGGAUGUUCAAAACAAACUAGAUAGUCCAAGCAUAUCAUGAACAGUCUCUAUAAGUCAUAAGAGGAUUUAUUUUAAAAAAAUACCAAAAAACUUUUAUAUGAUUGAGUUGUCUAUAAUUAAAGGGAAAUUAUAAUGGUCUUCCUGAAGAUUGGGCUUCAUGCUAAAAAAAACACUUAUAGACUAAAUAAUUAGUUACAGCGAUGAAAUUUUCUUAAGGGAUUGAUUUACUCUUAAUAAAUUAUAAGAGAUUUUAAUUUUUUAACCCAAAGUUCAACUAUUUACUUGCUGUUUUCUCUCCCCUUCAACUUGUUUUCAGCUCAUAUAAGUUAUUUUCCUUAAGUUCUGUUUGUUGUGGCCUGAUGCUAACAAUGUUUUCUAAAAGUCUAAAGGAAAUGUUUUCUUCCAAAGUAAUACUCUGUGCAGUGUAGAAGGUCUUUUCUUUUGCCUUUUGGUAAUUGACCUAACAGAUUUUAUGGCUUAUUGAAACAAUUCCUAUGCCAUUAUUAUUAAUUUUUGGUUUGCUUAGGAAAAAGAAACUGAGACAAUUUUUUUAAAAAAUUAACGUUAUUACAUCCAUGUAUAUUUCUGUGUGCACUUUGAAAGUACCUGUGACAUUGAGUUACCGGCCUUUAACUCCUGGAUCUAAAAAGGAGACCAAGAUCUGCUAAAUCUUAAACACUGACAGCAAUUAAAACCUCAUCUUCAGGCCUGGUAGAAGAUGCCUAUCAAAAUAAGCUGCAUUUCUGAGACAUAAGGCCAUAAAUCAAAGCUAUUCAACUCUUCAAGACUCAGGAACAAUCACAGAAGAGGUUUCUAAUAACUCUGGAGAUUGUGACAUCACAAUGAAGGAAAAGCUUUCAGGACUCAUGGAGACCUGAAAUGUUCAUGAAUAGCAAGCAGAACAGGAAUUAACUGCAUGAACUGAACUAACAGAAGACUGAAGUAAUCUUUUUGACUUUUUGCUUAAAACAUUGCUGACCCUUUAUUUUGUUUUUUUCAGUCAAGGAAACUUUUCUUUUGAGCUGUUGUCAGCUUUUAACAAGUUAGUAUACUCCUGUGAAAAAUAUUUGGAGCAUAUUUGUUUCUCUCUACCUGAUUUUCCCUAGAAUUGGAAACUAUCUGUGAGUAUUCUUAACUUAUGGCAAUACAGUUAUUUGCGUAAGUGCAAUAAGAAUCUGUUUUCAUUUGUAACAGGACACGAUAAAUUGGUCAUUUUACCAAGGCUUUUACUUGAAUGGUGUGCUCUUCUUUGAGGAAUCAAACUUGACUUAUGGAGCCAAUAAAAGCCCCUUGGGAGAACUGGCCUCAUACCUUAUCUACACAGUCCCUGUACAGGGUUCCUGACCUGUGGUAAGUAAAGCAUGUCACUUUCUAACAGUUCCAGGAGCCCCAAGUUUAUCUUGGAACCUCAAGAGGAGAGGAAUUCACCCAACUCAUAGGUAUUUGAUGGUACAAAUCCAUGGCUAGGCUAAGCUUUCCAAAAGUCUUAUCCGAAAUUCCUUCUAUGGAACAAAGUUCUGAUAGGGCCAGGGGACAGAGAAAUUCUAGGCAGAAAAGGAUAGGUCUCUGACAAAACCCCACCUUCAAGCUGAAAAGCCUUAAACCAUGGCCCAAAGUGACAACUUAUAUCCCUGUUUUCCUGCUUGAAAGUUGCCUUUUUCUAAACCACUCAUGGCCCCAUCCUGUCCCAUCCUGUGCCUGUGAAGAUCUCAGACUGAGCUGGCAGAGGCAAGAAGCAGCUGGAUGUUGGGGACUACAGCCGGACAUCAGAGAGAAGCAGCUUGACUGCAGAGGGACAGCUUGAUGGUGUAACCUUGGAGAAGAAUCCGGCUGGAUACAGCCUAACUUUGAGGAAGAUUACCUACCCACCCCAUCCUUUUUCAGCUCCCUUCCUGCUAAGAGCCACUUUCAUCAGCAACAAAAUCCCCCACAUUUACCAUCCUUUGAUUGGUUCAUGUGACCUCACCUUUCCUGGACACCCGACAAGAGCUUGGGAGCCAGGAGAGCAGAUACAAAAGGCUGUCACACUGGCCUUCUGCUCUUGCUGUUGGAGGGCAGCUGCCUCAUGCAAAAAGGCAGAGGGCUCACUGAGCUGUUGACACUUAAGCCAUCCAUGGAAGGCAGAGUUAAAAGAGCACUGUAACAUGACUUCUGGGGCUAUGGGAGUUGCAGGCACCUCCACCUAGAUGCUGCUGUGGGGCCCGCACAGAGUUUGCUCCUGCCAGCACCCAAAAGCACUCACUCUGGCUCCUGCACCCAUUCACCUGCAUGCUUCCUUCCAUGAGCAGGGGACUGCAGCAGGUCCAAGUGAGUGAAGUUUGAUCCUGCAGCACUGAAGUGCUGAUUCCAGCACUCAUGCACUCCAGUUCCUGCCUCAUUUGCUUGCAUGCUCUCUCCUGCAAGGAGGUGAGAGUGGCAGGCUGAAUAAAUGAGGCCCUGUCACAAGUCCCACAGAAGGGUCAGGGAAACAUCCUGCUUCGCUUCCAUCAAAGAGAAUUUAAAAGCUUAUGCAAAAAAAUUAUUACUAUUACUAUGACUGUGCUGUAUACAAUAAUCAGGUCAAGUAUAAUAAAGCAAAUCAGCUCUGCCAUGAUUUGUCUUUAGUAAAAAUGGUAAAUGGGAGAGAGAAGAAUUGUUUCAAAAAAUGAUAGUACACCUGUUGUUAGAUUCUAGUCUUGCCUAAUGUUUUUCCAUUUUUAUUAAUUUUUACAGUUUGGACUGAAUUCUAAUUUUUCUUGGCUACAGGUCUUCAAAAGAUUGUCUUCAGUUUUUUUCUUCUUCUUCUUUCCACCAUUUUUCCUAAUUUGGAGUCACCGAAAACUCAUCUGUGCUUUUAUAAAGCCCUGUGAACUGCAGCUAUAAGAUUUAAACUUCAGAAGAAAAUAUUAGCAACCUUUUCACAUACGUGAGCCUCUUUCAUACCUGCCUACUGAUAUAUGGACUUCCGAGUAAUGUGGCCCAUAUUGAUUUUCCAGGAUUGUUCUUUUGUUUAUUUUUGUUUUUCUCCCUUCCUUUCCCUAUUUUCUCUUCAUAGGACAUGAAACUUCACAACCUGCUAAAAAUGAACUUUCCUAAUAACUCAGGAAUUAUCUUUCUAGGAAUAAACAAUCCUAGCCAUGAGAUAUCAGAUGAAACUUGAGACCAAAGACUGACUUUCUUCUAAAAUGCUUUCUCAAAAAGAUUUUUAAGAAGAAAUGGGCGGAAAUGUGAAAGGAAAAUAAACCUUGGGGCCCUGAAAUCACUAAGGUAAAGGGGAAAGUCAAGCUGGGAACUGCUUAGGGCAAACCUGCCUCCCGUUCUAUUCACAGUCACCCCUCUGCUCACAGAGAUAAAUGCAUAUCUGAUUGCCUCCUUUGGAAAGGCUAAUCAGAAACUCUGAAGAAAGCAACCAUUUUUCUCUUAUCUACCUAUGACCUGGAAGCCCCUCCCCACUUAGAGUUGUCCCGGCCUUUUCCGGACGGAACCACUGUUCAUCUUACAUAUGUUGAUUGAUGUCUCAUGUCUCCCUAAAAUGUAUAAAACCAAGCUGUGCUCUGACCACUUUGGGCACCUGUCUUCAGAACCUCCUGAGGCUGUGUCACAGGUGUACAUCCCCAACCUUGGCAAAAUAAACUUUCUAAAUAAACUGAGACCUGUCUCCGAUUUUGCGGGUUCAGAAGGCUAUACUGAAUUGUCCCCUGUGUGAAGCCCAGCAGGAGCCUUUCACAGCAGGUUCUUUUCACUUGAACCUUUGUGCAUCAGCACCUAACUCUUUCGCAAGAUAAGGGGUCCUACGGAAUACCAGCAGACCCACCAGAGGGUUACAAAUUCCUGAUACCUAGUACAACCUGGGAAAGAGAGCAAAAGCCCUUUAUUCCUGAUGUAGCUUCCCCAAUCUCUAGCCAAUUUGCACCAAAAGCCCAAGAAACUCCUAACUACAAAUUCCUUCCAGGGGUGGGGUGUGUGGGAGGGUGGGCAGGGACUUCUCUGGGGUCCUGCAUGCACAGCUAGGCUCAAGGUUCAGCUUAUAGUAACCUUUUCCUCAUUUU
rnacentral:lncRNA from 10 species